rnacentral:rRNA from 1 species
UACGAAGGGGGCGAGCGUUGUUCGGAAUUACUGGGCGUAAAGGGCGCGUAGGCGGCGACUCAAGUUAGAUGUGAAAGUCCUGGGCUUAACCUGGGGACUGCAUUUGAUACUGGGUUGCUUGAAUUCGGGAGAGGAUAGCGGAAUUCCCAGUGUAGAGGUGAAAUUCGUAGAUAUUCGGAAGAACACCAGUGGCGAAGGCGACUUACUGGACACAUAUUGACGCUGAGGUGCGAAAGCGUGGGGAGCAAACAGG